CUCCUCAUAGCUCAGCAGGAUAGAGCGCAGAAUUCCUAAUUCUGAGGCCAUAGGUUCGAAUCCUAUUGGGGAGACCA
rnacentral:tRNA from 4 species